UGAACCCGCCUGUCACGUGACGGUGUCUUUAGUGUCGUCGAGAGCGACCGCGCGCUGGGAGAAGGUUUGUUGAAUGUUAAAGUGAUUUGGAGAAGUUCAGCAGCAGCAGCGUGUUUGUGUGUGUUUUAGUAAACGUUGUGUAACUGCUGGGAAAAUUUAAUAGCUAGACUUUUAAACUAAGGCUGAAGAACUGCGGGAGUUGAGAGUUGGGUGCCGCUGGUUUGUAUUGUAAAUUGUCAGGCUGCCCUUCCUGUGAGCGGCGAGUUUAGGAGACGAAAGUCACGAAGACCAUGGCCGCUCCAGUGUAUCUAGCCGAGGGUGUUCAGGUACGUGGUGGUGACCCAUACUACACAGAGGUCAUCAGCAAGAGGAUGCGGGUGCCUGAACGGCUGAGAGUUGGCCAAGGAGGCCCAGCUGAAGAAACAAGGCCGGAGAAUCUGCAUGCUGUCUACAGCAUGCAUGUACCAGACAGAUUAGCCCUAACAGAUGCUCCUGACCUUAGUCCACGGCCGCUCUUCUCCAAGCAAAGUGCCACAUCAAUGUGGGAUCUGCAGCGUGGAGCGUGGGAUAAAGAGGCACACAUGCGAGAGAGCAUUCAGAGCCCACUACGUAGGUCAUACAGCGACCAGACGUUUGGUAGAACCCCACCAGGAACCCCCACACACUCUAAACAAGCACUGCACUCUCCUUCUGUCAGCCGCAGUGCUGGAAGAGCACCCCCUGUAGGCCCAGACCCGCCCCUGCCCGAGCCCCUGCAGUUCUCCAACCUCCCGCCCAGCCUCCUGUCCCCACAGAGCAUGCUGCAGGCGGCCAGGCAGCUGGGUCAGCGGGCCUCAAAGAAACUCCUCCAGACUGUCACUCAAAAAUACUCCACCAGCACCAUGCAGGAGUCCUGGCUCAGUCCUGAGGAAGAGAAUGGAACUGCAGUCGAGUUCAUCGUGCUUCGCAGACAGGUGCUGAAGAUGAGCAGGCGGAUAGCUGGUCUUGAGAAGCAGAAUGCUGAACGCAAGCAGAACGAACUGGUGCUUCUCACUCUGCUGCUGUCUGCCUGCCUGCUUAAUGGCUGGCUGUGGAUGCGCAGAUAACCCUUCCAAACUCUCAGGCUGAUUAACUCCACUCCUCCAAAUCCACUCCUAGCAGGAAGGGUUCAGGCAGGGAGCCCUGCUACUAAACCAUGCCCUUGUGCAGUACAGUACGGUAUGUCCCAUCCAUUUGGAACCCAUUAGCCGGACUCAACUCAAACCAGGCCAGUUAUCAACCUCACCCACAAGAUAACACCUCACAGCUUAUUCAGGUAGUGGUGGUGUUCCCAAGCCGUCCCAGAGUUAGCACUUCACGAUUAAUUUACAUACUGUUAUCCCAUGACUUUUGGCAUGUUAGUGGAAUGUAGCAAUAGUAGUAUGAAUGACAGUUGGGAAGUU
rnacentral:lncRNA from 1 species